AAUCAACGCUGGCGGCGCGCUUAACACAUGCAAGUCGCACGAGAAAGGGAGCAAUCCUGAGUAUAGUGGCGCACGGGUGAGUAACACGUGGAUGAUCUACCUCCUUGUGGGGAAUAACCCUGGGAAACCGGGGCUAAUACCGCAUACGUCCGAGAGGAGAAAGCCGAAAGGCGCAGGGAGAGGAGUCCGCGGUCGAUUAGCUAGUUGGCAGGGUAAUGGCCUACCAAGGCGACGAUCGAUAGCCGGCCUGAGAGGGCACACGGCCACACUGGCACUGAAACACGGGCCAGACUCCUACGGGAGGCAGCAGUGGGGAAUCUUGCACAAUGGGGGAAACCCUGAUGCAGCGACGCCGCGUGAACGAUGAAGCCCUUCGGGGUGUAAAGUUCUUUCGACGGGGACGGAUAAUGACGGUACCCGGAGAAGAAGCUGCGGCGUAACUACGUG
rnacentral:rRNA from 1 species